rnacentral:lncRNA from 1 species
GAAAUGCCCUCUAUAGACAUAAACUGAAGUUGCAUGCAUCAUACUAACUUGGAAGAGAACAAAGUAAUUUGUCAAGAGAUGACGACAAGCAGUUCAGACAUGUUCCAACUGAUUAUUGCACUUAGAGAAUUUCUAGACGUUUGUUCAUCUGAGGAAGGAAAUAGCAGUCUCCUAUUGAGUCAAUUGAUGUGGCUCUCACUGAAGAGAUCCAUCCUUAAAUAGAAGAAGGCAGUGCCCAUGGGAAGGAGCAAAGACACAGCUGGUCCUAAUACGUGGGUCUUCACCCAAAGCUGUUGAAAUCUACACAGUUACAGAAAAAAAUAAUAAUUUAAGUUAUAAAUGGUUGAAGAAACAGUGGAUAGAAGUGAAUCUAAACUAUAGUCUGAAUGUAGAAGCAAGGCUAUACAUGGGAAGGAAAACCAUGUAAUCAAAAACUGCAGAGAUGAAGAAACAGUUAGAUUGUGGAAUUCGAGGUGGGUUAGGUAAUUGAGACAAUGCUAGGGUAGUGAAAGCUGCCCAGUACAGAGCUGGCUGGAUCUAGUCACAUUUGACAACUACAAGGACCAUGUGCUUGAUAAAGUAAUUGAUGACUCUGUGUACAAAAAUUUUUGAGCUUGAACAGAAGUUCUGUUUUAACUUUUGAUGGCUAUUUUUUAAUAGCAAUUAUUUUUUUCGUGGUUUCAAGGAUUGCCUCUAUUUGUUUCCAAAUAGUUCCAGUAGUUACCAACAGUCCACUUGAGCCACAGAACCUAUCCCAUUGCCAAAUAACCAAUGUAAAUAUUUUCCCCGGGAUAUUAUUUUUGUUAAAAGAACAGAUAUGAAUUUGUAUUUACCAGUUUUCCCCUGAACUAGAUUUCCCUUGUAUAACACCAUUUUGUUGUUGCUGAAGGCAUCCAUAGACCCCAUUAACUAUUCUCAGUAUGUUUAGUUUCACUUUUAUUUAUCCCCUUCCUUUAUACUUAGAUCUUGAAUUAAGUUGGAAAGUGGAUAUUAGGACAAAGUUUAGCUGACUGGACACUUUACAAGUUCUGUUUUAUAUACUUCUGAUGUAUGGAGAACAUUUAUAUGCACAGGAAGCAACUUAGACUAAGUCCCCUCAUUGCCCUGGAAGGUCUCCUAUAAUGAUUUCUAGUGAUUUUACAUAGGAGAGCUCUACUUUUACUGACAUUAGAAAAUCAGAGAUACAACUCUAUUGCUCAGAGCAUAGCAACAACCUGGGGGC